ACGAUGCACUCAGAGCCCAUAACCAGCAUCUACUUGAUCCCUUCCUGGAGUGUGCCCAGCUGAAUCUGAGUCUCACCAACUCUGAAGGCUGCAACCCUUUCCAUGAAGCGUGUGUGUCGCUCUCUGGGGCAACAGAAUUUCCACAAGAACUGAUAAAGAAAGAUCCGAAGAUUGUCAACGUCCCAAUGAACAACGCCCUCACCCCGAUACACAUCGCAGCCUUCCGGAGCUUUCGGCCCUGGCAGGUGUCCUGGUGAAGGCUGGCUGCAACGUCAAUGCUCGGGACGACAACGGCAAGACAGCUCUUCAUAUGGCUGUGCAAAGAUGUAAUCUUCAGAUUGUACAACUGCUCCUUGAAUCCGAGGCUGAGAUCAACGUACAGGACAAAGAUGGAAAUUCUCCUCUACACGCCGCCCAGAUGGACAUCACGCUUCCUGAG